GGCCAUGUCGCCAAGUAGUAAGGCACGGGACUGCAAAUCCUGAAUACGCGGGUGCGAUUCCCGCCAUGGCCU
rnacentral:tRNA from 1 species